CCUACGGGCGGCUGCAGUAGGGACUUUUCGUCAAUGGGCGCAAGCCUGAACGAGCGAUGCCGCGUGAGUGAAGAAGGCCUUCGGGUCGUAAAGCUCUGUUGCGGGGGAAAAAAGGCAGCAUCAGGAAAUGGGUGCUGACUGAUGGUGCCCCGCCAGCAAGUCACGGCUAACUACGUGCCAGCAGCCGCGGUAAUACGUAGGUGGCGAUCGUUAUCCGGAAGGAUUGGGCGUAAAGGGUCCGCAGGCGGUCCUGCAAGUAUGGAGUGAAACGCAUGAGCUCAACUCAUGAAUGGCUUUGGAAACUGGAGGACUGGAGAGCAGGAGAGGGCGGUGGAAGUCCAUGUGUAGCGGUAAAAUGCGGAGAUAUAGGGAAGAACACCAGUGGCGAAGGCGGCCGCCUGGCCUGUUGCUGACGCUGAGGCACGAGAGCGUGGGGAGCAAAUAGGAUUAGAUACCCCGGUAGUC
rnacentral:rRNA from 1 species